UGGGGAAUUUUGGACAAUGGGCGCAAGCCUGAUCCAGCCAUGCCGCGUGUGUGAAGAAGGCCUUCGGGUUGUAAAGCACUUUCAGACGGAACGAAAUCGCGCGGUUGAACAUUCCGCGUGGAUGACGGUACCGUAAGAAGAAGCACCGGCUAACUACGUGCCAGCAGCCGCGGUAAUACGUAGGGUGCGAGCGUUAAUCGGAAUUACUGGGCGUAAAGGGUGCGCAGGCGGCCCCGCAUGUCAGGCGUGAAAUCCCCGAGCUCAACUUGGGAAUGGCGCUUGAAACUACGGGGCUGGAGUGUGGCAGAGGGAGGUGGAAUUCCACGUGUAGCGGUGAAAUGCGUAGAGAUGUGGAGGAACACCGAUGGCGAAGGCAGCCUCCUGGGCCAACACUGACGCUCAUGCACGAAAGCGUGGGGAG
rnacentral:rRNA from 1 species